UGUUUUACAGGCUGAGUUUUCAGACUGUUUGCAUAUGCCAAAAUGUACCCCAACCACAUCCAAACUGUUAAACCCUCCUACACUUGCCGUUUAACUGUUUGCACGUUCCUUUAAGAUUUGUAACACGCCUUUCUUUAGUUUGCUAAAAUGCUAGAGAAGACACAGAGGGGCUGAAAAAUAUAACAAUGACUUGUACUUCAGACUACAGGAAACACCUACAAGGGUAAAGACUUCAGCAAUUCUGAUGACUGUCCUUAAGCCUGGAUCUUUUUGAAGGUAACUGCAGGACCAAUUGGCUGUUUACAUAGACCCUCUUUGGCCUUUUGAUGGACUGUUGACUCUGCACCUGUCACCAGAGCUUGUAAGCGGAUGUUUGAAUGUGCGCUAAAGUUUUUUUUAUUUUUUUAUUAAUCUGCUGAAAGACACCACUGCCUUCAGGGAAUACUGUUUCCAUGGAUGAUGUACUUGGCCAGCAACAAUGUUUAGAGCACCUAGCCGGACGCUCAGGUGACCGCCCGCAGAUCUCCUUCCCUCCUCCCGGCUGACGUCAGCCAGGUUUUCUCAGCCCUCCUGGUCAUGUGAGCACAGAGGGGUGCUCUGAAAAUAGACAAUUCCAAUUUUCCCUUUACUUCCUGCUGGUUCUCCUGAUGACUCCAUACCUGAAGUUGCUGCUUACAAGUUCUACUGAAUCUUCCCAGUUGCCAUCUCCAGUUUGGGGUUUCACACACCACAUCCUCUGGUAGCAUUGAAGAUUAUUUGAUGAACUGCUAAAAAGAAAUUGUGCCUUCAUACUAACAAAAAGCAGGACAACCUCAAACAUGCAGCCAAUGUCAUUAAGGAAGAACUAUCUUCAGCAUAAAGAAGAACAAGGUGUCCUGGAAGUGAUGGUUUGGCCCCCACAGAGCCCUGAUCUUAACAUAAUUAAGUCUGUCUGGGAUUACAUGAAGAGGCAGAAGGAGUUCAGGCAGCCUACAUCCGCAGAAGAUAUGUGGUUAUUCUCCAAGAUGUUUGGAACAACCUACCUGCCAAGUUUCUUCAAAAACUGUAUGCAAGUGUACCUAGAAGAAUUAAUGCUGGUUUAAAGUCAAAGGGUAGUCACACCAAAUAUUGAUUUACGUUCAGGUUAUUUUCCUGUUUUCUCACUUUGCAUUUUGUAAAUUGAUAAAAUUAAGCAGUUAAAAUAUAUAUAUUUGGAAAGCAUUACUUUACAGCAUUUCUUCACACCUACCUAAAACUUUUGCACAGCUCUGUAUAUAACCUUUAUCUUUAUGUUUUCAAAUCUUUAAAGAAAAAAAAGAGCACAGAUGUGUACCAUACAUAUGCCAAUGCAUAACGAUUAUUGAGACCAGUAGUAGUAGAUCAUCUCUUCAAUACUUCAAGCUUUUAUUAGUAUAGUGCUUUCUUAAGAUAUAAUAAACAGGAUUUAUCAACAAUAGGAUUAGUCAGAAAUAUUUAUCAAUGCUAAAGCAUUUAUGAUAUUAUGACGCUUAAAUGGAAUUCCCAUAUUUACAUGUUACAGCUGUGUAAAUGGAGACAUGCAGUAUGGAGAGCCCAGCUGACAGACAUCUGUGAGACUAGUUUGCGGAUUCUUGGAGGAGUUAAGUGAUGACAUGUCUCUCAUCUGAUGUUGGAGUGUAGUAGCAGAAGCACGACAAUGAGAGUAGAUCUUUGCUUCCCAUGUUCUGGAAAGGAAACUAACAACAAUAUGCAAAUCAGUGGAGCCAUAGUUGGAUCAGAGUGGGUGGGUUAGAAUGGCUUUCUGUCCAAAUCCUGUUGUUCAAAAAAAAAAA